GAUGAACGCUAGCGAUAGGCCUAACACAUGCAAGUCGAGGGGCAUCACAUGAAGUAGCAAUACGGAUGGUGGCGACCGGCGCACGGGUGAGUAACACGUAUGCAACCUGCCUUCAACAAGGGGAUAACCCGUUGAAAGACGGACUAAUACCCUAUAACACAGGGGUCCCGCAUGGGAAUAUUUGUUAAAGGACAACCGGUUGAAGAUGGGCAUGCGUUCCAUUAGCUAGUUGGCGGGGUAACGGCCCACCAAGGCAACGAUGGGUAGGGGAACUGAGAGGUUUAUCCCCCACACUGGUACUGAGACACGGACCAGACUCCUACGGGAGGCAGCAGUGAGGAAUAUUGGUCAAUGGACGCAAGUCUGAACCAGCCACGUCGCGUGAAGGAAGACGGCCCUACGGGUUGUAAACUUCUUUUGCAAGGGAAUAAAGUGGGCCACGUGUGGCCUUUUGCAAGUACCUUGCGAAUAAGGAUCGGCUAACUCCGUG
rnacentral:rRNA from 1 species